GACGAACGCCGGCGGCGUGCUUAACACAUGCAAGUCGAACGGUAAGGCCCUUCGGGGUACACGAGUGGCGAACGGGUGAGUAACACGUGGGUGAUCUGCCCUGCACUUUGGGAUAAGCCUGGGAAACUGGGUCUAAUACCGGAUAGGACUCCGGACUGCAUGGUCUGGGGUGGAAAGCUUUUGCGGUGUGGGAUGGGCCCGCGGCCUAUCAGCUUGUUGGUGGGGUGAUGGCCUACCAAGGCGACGACGGGUAGCCGGCCUGAGAGGGUGACCGGCCACACUGGGACUGAGAUACGGCCCAGACUCCUACGGGGGGCAGCAGUGGGGAAUAUUGCACAAUGGGCGCAAGCCUGAUGCAGCGACGCCGCGUGAGGGAUGACGGCCUUCGGGUUGUAAACCUCUUUCAGCAUCGACGAAGCGAAAGUGACGGUAGGUGCAGAAGAAGGACCGGCCAACUACGUGCCAGCAGCCGCCGUAA
rnacentral:rRNA from 1 species